GGAAGUAAAAGUCGUAACAAGGUUUCCGUAGGUGAACCUGCGGAAGGAUCAUUAUCGAAUUCUGAGGGGGGAGAGGAAACCUUGACUUCUCGAGGAACAACUGUCGCUGGCCCCUUGGGGCAUGUGCACGUCUUGCCUUGUCGUCGACCUUUCUCUCUCUCUCUCUCUCUCAUACCAUCCACACCUGUGCACCCGUCGUAGGUCUUCGAAAGAGGAACUAUGUCUUUCACGUCCCACAUCUAUCGUAUGUCUACAGAAUGUAAUAAAAUGGGCGAUGGCAUUAUACAACUUUCAGCAACGGAUCUCUUGGCUCUCGCAUCGAUGAAGAACGCAGCGAAUUGCGAUAAGUAAUGUGAAUUGCAGAUUUUCAGUGAAUCAUCGAAUCUUUGAACGCACCUUGCGCUCCUUGGUAUUCCGAGGAGCAUGCCUGUUUGAGCGUCAUCGAAUUCUCAACCAUGUCUUGAUUUGUUUCGAGACCAUGGCUUGGACUUGGGGGUUUGCUGGCGGCGAAAGGCCGUCGGCUCUCCUGAAAUGCAUUAGCAUAGGGCGGCGCAAGUCUAUUGACGUGCACGGCCUUCGACGUGAUAAUGAUCGUCGUGGCUGGAGCGUCAGAGAGACAUGCACGAAAAUCGUCCGUGCUUCCAAUCUGUGUCCGUGGCUAGCCUUUGGACCUCUUAGCUACUAGUCUGGUCGCAAGACUCGGCGAACGUCGAGGGGCUUUUCCGGGGGUUUGGUCCGUUUCGAAACUUGACCUCAAAUCAGGUAGGACUACCCGCUGAACUUAAGCAUAUCAAUAAGCGGAGGA
rnacentral:rRNA from 1 species